AAAGAUGUAACAGCUGCUGUAGCAUACCAGUUUUCACAAAAAUUUUGACAGAGUGUUUGGUCAACGGCCGACCUUGUAUAGCGUACUCUGCCUUCACCGAGACCUACUCUACCGGGGACCUGGACUUGGUGGUGGAUGCUCUUGUCAGGGUUUUCCAGAGCGCUCCCUUUCGAAAAUUCAUGCCACCUACCCUCACUCAGGGUAGGCUUCACCAUUACAGAGAUAAAAAUCACUUAAAUGAAUCACUGGAUAGGUACAUGUAAGAAAUACAGAUUGCAAAGUUUCUGGAAGUUAAUUAUUCACUGUACAAACUUAAUUCUCAUUUAGAUGAGGAAUUAGCAGUUUUUCACUGAAUACUAUAUUUUGUCACAGCCACAGACCAGGUAAUACAACUUUACAUAGUGUGCUAUUUAAGAUGCAGUAUUGAAAUUAUAGCAUAUAGGUAAUGUUUUUUAAUAAUGUUAUGAAAUUUUCAGUUGUAACUACAAUCCAGGUCCACUUUUGUUAUUUUAUUAUUUUUUUUGCAGUACUGAAGUUGUAUUAAGAUAUUUGAAUAAAAUAAACAUUUAAAAUUG